rnacentral:rRNA from 1 species
UGGAUCCAGACUUUGAUUAUGGCUCAGGAUGAACGCUAGCUACAGGCUUAACACAUGCAAGUCGAGGGGAAACGACAUCGAAAGCUUGCUUUUGAUGGGCGUCGACCGGCGCACGGGUGAGUAACGCGUAUCCAACCUGCCCAUCACUUGGGGAUAACCUUGCGAAAGUAAGACUAAUACCCAAUGACGUCUCUAGAAGACAUCUGAAAGAGAUUAAAGAUUUAUCGGUGAUGGAUGGGGAUGCGUCUGAUUAGCUUGUUGGCGGGGUAACGGCCCACCAAGGCAACGAUCAGUAGGGGUUCUGAGAGGGAGGUCCCCCACAUUGGAACUGAGACACGGUCCAAACUCCUACGGGAGGCAGCAGUGAGGAAUAUUGGUCAAUGGGCGAGAGCCUGAACCAGCCAAGUAGCGUGCAGGAUGACGGCCCUAUGGGUUGUAAACUGCUUUUAUAAGGGAAUAAAGUGAGUCUCGUGAGACUUUUUGCAUGUACCUUAUGAAUAAGGACCGGCUAAUUCCGUGCCAGCAGCCGCGGUAAUACGGAAGGUCCGGGCGUUAUCCGGAUUUAUUGGGUUUAAGGGGAGCGUAGGCCGGAGAUUAAGCGUGUUGUGAAAUGUAGACGCUCAACGUCUGCACUGCAGCGCGAACUGGUUUCCUUGAGUACGCACAAAGUGGGCGGAAUUCGUGGUGUAGCGGUGAAAUGCUUAGAUAUCACGAAGAACUCCGAUUGCGAAGGCAGCUCACUGGAGCGCAACUGACGCUGAAGCUCGAAAGUGCGGGUAUCGAACAGGAUUAGAUACCCUGGUAGUCCGCACGGUAAACGAUGGAUGCCCGCUGUUGGUCUGAAUAGGUCAGCGGCCAAGCGAAAGCAUUAAGCAUCCCACCUGGGGAGUACGCCGGCAACGGUGCAACUCAAAUGAAUUGACGGA